CCUACGGGAGGCAGCAGUGGGGAAUAUGGGACAAUGGGGGCAACCCUGAUCCAGCCAUGCCGCGUGUGUGAAGAAGGCCCUCGGGUUGUAAAGCACUUUCAGUGAGGAAGAACGCCUGGUGGUUAAUACCCAUCAGGAAAGACAUCACUCACAGAAGAAGCACCGGCUAACUCCGUGCCAGCAGCCGCGGUAAUACGGAGGGUGCGAGCGUUAAUCGGAAUUACUGGGCGUAAAGCGCGCGUAGGUGGCUUGAUAAGCCGGUUGUGAAAGCCCCGGGCUCAACCUGGGAACGGCAUCCGGAACUGUCAAGCUAGAGUGCAGGAGAGGAAGGUAGAAUUCCCGGUGUAGCGGUGAAAUGCGUAGAGAUCGGGAGGAAUACCAGUGGCGAAGGCGGCCUUCUGGACUGACACUGACACUGAGGUGCGAAAGCGUGGGUAGCAAACAGGAUUAGAUACCCUGGUAGUC
rnacentral:rRNA from 1 species